UAUGUAACAUUUACAAGUUUUUGUUUUGUUUACAAAUUCUUCUUACAAUUUACAACUCUAACAUUAAUUUACCUAUUUUUCCAUUAAUUUACUAGUUGUAUGUGUGGUUUACAAAUUUUUUGUUUUAUUUAACACUUAAUGUCAAUUUACAAGUUCUAUGUAAUUUUUCUAAAUUUUGGUUUUGUUUACAAGUUCUUCUUACAAUUUACAACUCCAACAUUAAUUUACCAAUUUUUUCAUUAAUUUACUAGUUUUAUGUGUGAUUUACACAUUUUUUGUUUCAUUUCACAAUUAAUGUCAAUUUACUAGUUGUAUGUCAUUUUUCUAAGUUUUUGUUUUGUUUACAAGUUCUUCUUGCAUUUUACAACUCCAACAUUAAUUUACUCAGUUUUCCAUCAAUUUACUAGUUUUAUGUGUGAUUUACACACUUUUUGUUUCAUUUCACACUUAAUGUCAAUUUACUAGUUGUAUGUCAUUUUUCUAAGUUUUUCACACUUAACGUCAAUUUACAAGUUCUAUGUUAUUUUUCUAAGUUUUUAUUUUGUUUACAAGUUCUUCAUCCAAUUUACAACUCUAACAUUAAUUUACUCAAUUUUCCAUCAAUUUACUAGUUUUAUGUGUGAUUUACAUAUUUUUUGUUUCAUUUCACACUUAAUGUCAAUUUAUUAGCUCUAUGUCAUUUUUCUAAUUUUGUUUUGUUUACAAGUUCUUCUUACAAUUUACAACUCCAACAUUAAUUUACCAAUUUUUUUCAUUAAUUUACUAGUUUUAUGUGUGAUUUACAUAUUUUUUGUUUCAUUUCACACUUAAUGUCAAUUUACAAGUUCUAUGUCAUUUUUCUAAGUUUUUGUUUUGUUUACAAGUUCUUCUUGCAAUUUACAACUCCAACAUUAUUUUACUCAUUUUUUCAUUAAUUUACCGGUUUUAUGUGUGAUUUACAAAUUUAUUGUUUCAUUUCACACUUAAUGUCAAUUUGCGAGUUCUGCUGUACGGCCAAGGCGGAUGUACGGUACAGCAGGUUCCAUCUGUAUAUUCCGGCAGAGCAUAUCGAUAUCGGGAUCCCACCAAGCCGGCUCAAUGAGCACCCUUUUGGCGAUCCUAGAUCCU
rnacentral:lncRNA from 1 species